GUCAAGACUGGCAACAAGCAGAUAAGGAAGUAAAUUAUUUACUAGUUUGGAAACAGACUUUGAUAACCAAACAGAAUAAUAUAAAAACGCACCUACCACGUGACAAGCCUAUGAAAGUGAAAUGACAGUCGAGACUGUAUCUACACACAUAAUUAUGUUUAUUUGUGUCUCGAGCUUGUUCCCUACAGAACACCAGGGCAUGAAAUGAAAGAGUGCCAUCAGACAAAGGAGUGGGAGGAUCCCAGCCGAAUUUGAAAUUCAGACAACACAGUGGCACAUUGGCGGACGUCUCAGGGGGCAGGCGAUCCAGAGUGCUCUGUAGACUGAGUAGAGGGGUGAAGUCUUACAGGAAAUGCCUCUCCUUCCCCUUUGCCAAGCCCCUUCACAUUAAUGAGAGCAGGCAAAGGACCGUCCAUCAACAGAAAGACAGAUGCUCCUCUGCGGGGCAAGAGGCCUUGCUGGUGCCAUGGGUAGCUUGGGGACAGCCCGCUGCAUAGGCGAUGAGCCUUCUCUCAGGGAGCCAGGCGGCUGCCCUUCCCACUGCACUCUAGUCCCUGUCGGAAGAUGAACUGAGACGUGUUUGUCUUCAGCUUUACUAGCUGCCCUGGUGGCACAGGCUGGGGCCACAUCCUGAUAACUCAUAAUUUCCAUACCUUAAAUAAUUUAAUGUGAACUCACAUAAAUAAAAUGCUGCAACUGAGCAUAAUUCUUCAUACAUUUUCCUAAUAA